UAGGGAAUCUUCGGCAAUGGACGAAAGUCUGACCGAGCAACGCCGCGUGAGUGAAGAAGGUUUUCGGAUCGUAAAACUCUGUUGGUAGAGAAGAACGUUGGUGAGAGUGGAAAGCUCAUCAAGUGACGGUAACUACCCAGAAAGGGACGGCUAACUACGUG
rnacentral:rRNA from 3 species